GAGCAUUACGAGCCAUCGCUUAAAACUCAAAGGACUUGGCGGCGCCUUACAUCCACCUAGAGGAGCCUGUUCUAUAAUUGAUACCCCCCAAUAAACCUCACCGCCUUUUGCAAAUACAGCCUAUAUACCACCGUCAAGCCCGCCUCCUUAGAGAACAGUAGCAGGCUAAACAAUUUUAAAUAAAAAAGUCAGGUCAAGGUGUAGCAAAUAAGUCGGAAAGAAAUGGGCUACAUUUUCUUUAAAGAAAACACGAAAUGUUAUAUGAAAUACAGCAUAGAAGGAGGAUUUAGUAGUAAAAAGAAAAUAGAGUGUUCUUUUUAAAUAGGCAAUAAGGCGAGCACACACCGCCCGUCACCCUCUUAAUUAUAACAUAAACAAAAUAUAACAACAUACUUAAAAUAGAGGAAAGUCGUAACAUGGUAAGCCUACCGGAAGGUGGUCUUGGA
rnacentral:rRNA from 1 species